rnacentral:rRNA from 1 species
GUUUGAUCCUGGCUCAGGAUGAACGCUGGCGGCGUGCUUAACACAUGCAAGUCGAACGAACCUUCGGGUUAGUGGCGGACGGGUGAGUAACGCGUGAGAAUCUGCCCUCAGGAGGGGGAUAACGGCUGGAAACGGCCGCUAAUACCCCAUAUGCCGAGAGGUGAAAUGAAUUUCGCCUGAGGAUGAGCUCGCGUCUGAUUAGCUAGUUGGUGUGGUAAAGGCUCACCAAGGCAUCGAUCAGUAGCUGGUCUGAGAGGAUGAUCAGCCACACUGGGACUGAGACACGGCCCAGACUCCUACGGGAGGCAGCAGUGGGGAAUUUUCCGCAAUGGGCGCAAGCCUGACGGAGCAACGCCGCGUGAGGGAUGAAGGCCUCUGGGCUGUAAACCUCUUUUAUCAAGGAAGAAGAUCUGACGGUACUUGAUGAAUAAGCCACGGCUAAUUCCGUGCCAGCAGCCGCGGUAAUACGGGAGUGGCAAGCGUUAUCCGGAAUUAUUGGGCGUAAAGCGUCCGCAGGCGGUCUUGAAAGUCUGUUGUUAAAGCGUGGAGCUCAACUCCAUUUCAGCAAUGGAAACUAGAAGACUAGAGUGUGGUAGGGGCAGAGGGAAUUCCCGGUGAAGCGGUGAAAUGCGUAGAUAUCGGGAAGAACACCAGUGGCGAAGGCGCUCUGCUGGGCCAUAACUGACGCUCAUGGACGAAAGCCAGGGGAGCGAAAGGGAUUAGAUACCCCUGUAGUCCUGGCCGUAAACGAUGAACACUAGGUGUCGGGGGAAUCGACCCCCUCGGUGUCGUAGCCAACGCGUUAAGUGUUCCGCCUGGGGAGUACGCACGCAAGUGUGAAACUCAAAGGAAUUGACGGGGGCCCGCACAAGCGGUGGAGUAUAUGGUUUAAUUCGAUGCAACGCGAAGAACCUUACCAGGGUUUGACAUCCUGCGAAUCCCUUGGAAACUUGGGAGUGCCUUCGGGAGCGCAGUGACAGGUGGUGCAUGGCUGUCGUCAGCUCGUGUCGUGAGAUGUUGGGUUAAGUCCCGCAACGAGCGCAACCCACGUCUUUAGUUGCCAGCAUUAAGUUGGGCACUCUAGAGAGACUGCCGGUGAUAAACCGGAGGAAGGUGUGGAUGACGUCAAGUCAUCAUGCCCCUUACAUCCUGGGCUACACACGUACUACAAUGCUACGGACAAAGGGCAGCAAACUCGCGAGAGCUAGCAAAUCCCAUAAACCGUGGCUCAGUUCAGAUCGUAGGCUGCAACUCGCCUACGUGAAGGAGGAAUCGCUAGUAAUCGCAGGUCAGCAUACUGCGGUGAAUACGUUCCCGGGCCUUGUACACACCGCCCGUCACACCAUGGAAGUUGGCCACGCCCGAAGUCGUUACUCCAACCCGCAAGGGAGGAGGAUGCCGAAGGUGGGGCUGAUGACUGGGGUGAAGUCGUAACAAGGUA